rnacentral:rRNA from 1 species
UACGGGGGGAGCAAGCGUUGUUCGGAUUUACUGGGCGUAAAGGGCGCGUAGGCGGCCACCGCAAGUCGACUGUGAAAUCUCCGGGCUUAACUCGGAAAGGUCAGCCGAUACUGCGGGGCUAGAGUGCAGAAGGGGCAACUGGAAUUCCUGGUGUAGCGGUGAAAUGCGUAGAUAUUCGGAGGAACACCAGAAGCGAAGGCGGCUCACUGGCCCGACACUGACGCUGAGGUGCGAAAGCGUGGGGGAGCAAACAGG